rnacentral:rRNA from 3 species
ACACGAGCGGCGAACGGGUGAGUAACACGUGGGUGAUCUGCCUUGCACUUCGGGAUAAGCCUGGGAAACUGGGUCUAAUACCGGAUAUGACCUCGGGAUGCAUGUUCUGGGGUGGAAAGAUUUAUCGGUGCGAGAUGGGCCCGCGGCCUAUCAGCUUGUUGGUGAGGUAACGGCUCACCAAGGCGACGACGGGUAGCCGACCUGAGAGGGUGACCGGCCACACUGGGACUGAGACACGGCCCAGACUCCUACGGGAGGCAGCAGUGGGGAAUAUUGCACAAUGGGCGAAAGCCUGAUGCAGCGACGCCGCGUGCGGGAUGACGGCCUUCGGGUUGUAAACCGCUUUUGACAGGGACGAAGCGCAAGUGACUGUACCUGUAGAAUAAGGACCGGCCAACUACGUGCCAGCAGCCGCGGUAAUACGUAGGGUCCGAGCGUUGUCCGGAAUUACUGGGCGUAAAGAGCUUGUAGGCGGUUCGUCGCGUCGUUUGUGAAAACUUGGGGCUCAACCUUAAGCUUGCAGGCGAUACGGGCGGACUAGAGUACUUCAGGGGAGACUGGAAUUCCUGGUGUAGCGGUGAAAUGCGCAGAUAUCAGGAGGAACACCGGUGGCGAAGGCGGGUCUCUGGGAAGUAACUGACGCUGAGAAGCGAAAGCAUGGGUAGCAAACAGGAUUAGAUACCCUGGUAGUCCAUGCCGU